rnacentral:rRNA from 1 species
AUUGAACGCUGGCGGCAGGCUUAACACAUGCAAGUCGAGCGAGUGGCGGACGGGUGAGUAAUGUCUGGGAAACUGCCUGAUGGAGGGGGAUAACUACUGGAAACGGUAGCUCAUACCGCAUACCAUCGGAUGUGCCCAGCUGGGAUUAGCUAGUAGGUGGGGUAAUGGCUCACCUAGGCGACGAUCCCUAGCUGGUCUGAGAGGAUGACCAGCCACACUGUAACGGAGACACGGUCCAGACUCCUACGGGAGGCAGCAGUGGGGAAUAUUGCACAAUGGGCGCAAGCCUGAUGCAGCCAUGCCGCGUGUGUGAAGAAGGCCUUCGGGUUGUAAAGCACUUUCAGCGAGGAGGCGUUACUCAAAGAAGAAGCACCGGCUAACUCCGUGCCAGCAGCCGCGGUAAUUC